UGGGAAGAAAGCCCCACUAGGAGCUUAGU
rnacentral:piRNA from 2 species